AAAUCGGUAUCGAAAUCGGUAGACGCUACGGACUUAAAUCCGUCGACUUUAGAAAUCGUGAGGGUUCAAGUCCCUCUAUCCCC
rnacentral:tRNA from 1 species